UCGUGACAGCUGGUCGUCACUCCGAAGUUGCACCUGAUGCAAGCGCCUCAGAUACGAACAAGGAAUAAAGACAAUUUCCGUCUUUAACUACCGCGGAUUUCACUAAUGUAGCGCCUCGCUAAGCAAACAAGAAGCCGUGUUCCCACGAACUACUAGGUGCAACUCCUGGGAUCUCGCCAAACUCCGGCAACACGACCAGCAGCCACGGGCGCAGCCUACCACCAGCUUGCACCGUUCAUUGGCUGCAACUCUUGCCCUGUCUAACCCGAUAGGACGCUGUCAGCACAAUGAAUGUAACGAUUGGCUGAAUCCCAGCCCUCUCUGCCUUCAUUGGCGAAUCCAGUCUAUUCGACGCAGGGUAUCUCAGCCUGUGAUUGGCUGAAAUUUGAAUGUAUUGGUUGAACCAGACGAAAAUCCUGAAGUCUACAGCUGCUGGAAAUCUGAAAUAAAGACGACUGGAAAUACUCACCAGCUCACUCAGCAUCAUUCUGAAAAGGGCGCUGGAUAAUUACUUGUCACUUUCCACAGAUGCUGCCUGGCAUGCUUUGGCUUUGCUCUCCAAACUUCAAUCCCACCAGUGCAGAGUUAGGAACGAUUUUUAAGAUGCUGCAGGGAUAUCACCCUCUAAUAAUUUGCAUGGAGUAAUGUUUGCCAGGAUACCGACUCACCAGCAGCUGGACCUACCAGAUACAGUAGGGGCCGUGCACAAUCCUGAUUUGAUGGGGAUGGACGUGAGAAGCACAGAGGAACAUCUGGUGAAACUUCUGACAUGCCUGUUUCGCUGCCGCAGCUACUGUGCAAUCAAAAAGCCUCCGAGAGAAAGGCCCCGAAUCCUCGGCUUUGCCUGUUGCUUGGCGGCUGGAGUCGAAGUGCUCAGCAGAGAUGGUGCUCGGAGUCGGAGGCUCGGAGUUUUUCGGACGGACUCAAGAGUUGGCUGUGGUCGGAUGCUUCCAGAGGCUGCAUCGGGAAGCUUUGCGGCGCUGGAGGUUCAUGGCAGGAAGAGUUCUUCUUCCUUCUACCGUCUACGUGAGAUGAUGGGCUAUCGAGGACUUUGAGACGUUUUAUUACCAUGUCCAUGGUCUACCUGUAUCAAAUUAUAGCAUUGCUUUGCACUGUUGUAACUAUAUGUUAUAAUGAUGUGGUUUUUGUAAGUUAGUCUUGGUCUGUCUUGUGUUUUUGUGAUAUCAUAUUUGAGGAACAUUGCAUCAUUUCUUUAUGCAUGUAUUACUAAAUGACAAUAAACGAGGACUGAGUGUCCUCACAAUCUAAUCUAAUAAAUUUACAGCCCACUUCUUGUAAGAAAUGUCAAUCACUGGGUACAACAUGCAUAGGAAUUGAGGUAGAAAAUUUAUGCAGAGAGGACUUGAAUACAAAAGUAUUGCUGAAGCCUUAUAAGACAUUGGUCAAAAUCAUUUGGAAUGUUGAGAGAAAUUCGGGGCCCUGUACCAAGACGGAUGUGCUGGACCUAGAGAGGUCCAGAGGAGAUACACAGAAAUGAUCCAGAGAAUGAAAAGGUUAACCUAAGAGGAGUAUUUAACGGCUCUGGGCCUAUACUUAGAGCUUAAAAGAAUGAGGGAAUCUCACUGAUACUGAAAGGCCUGGGCAGAGUGGACAGGAAGAGGAUGUUUCCAUUUGGAAAAUCUAGGGUGCAAGGGCAUCCCUUUAGAAUUGAGAUGAAGAAAUUCAUUCUCAACCAAAAAAUAUGGUGAAUCUGCAGCUAUUUAUCAUAGGGAUAAGAAAAAUUGCUACCCUGAGCACAGUGAACAUUUGAAAUUCCCUGAACUAGGAGGAUGGUGGAGGCUCACUUACAGUGUUCAUUCAAAACACAGAUAGAUUUUCAGACAUUAAAAAAAAUUUAAGAAGUUGUAGAAAAUGGCACUGAGAUUGAAGAUCAGCCAUGACCUUAAAGAAUAAAAGUACCAGAUGGCCUACAGCUUCUCCUAUAUUUUAUGUUCUUCAAUUUCAAAUAGAAAAAUCCUAAGUCUCUCACGAUCACAAAUGAAGAUUCCAUCUUUGAUCAUACUCCAGGCGCUACUGAAGGGUUAAAUCACAUUCUCCCUUCAUCUAUGGAAUAUACAGUGCCUAUAAAAAGUAUUCAACCCCCCUUGGAAGUUUUCAUGUUUCAUUGUUCUACAACACGAAUCACAGUGGAUUUAAUUUGGAUUUCUUGACACUAAUCAGCGGAAAAAACAUACGUGUCAAAGUGAAAACAUCACUACAAGCUGAUCUAAAUUAAUCAAAAAUAUUAAACACAAAGUAAUUGAUUGCAUAAGUAUUCACCCCAUUUAAUUUUGACACACCAAGUCAUAAUUGAUGCAGCCAAUUGGUUUUUGAAGUCACAAAAUUAGUUAAAUGGAGAUCAGUUUCUGGAGGCCUAUGUGCAGUCAAGGUCCUUCAGUUGAUUGCAGUAAAAAUACACCUGUAUCAUGAAGGUGCCAUUGCUGGUGGGUCAGUAUCCUGGCAAAAACUACACCAUGAAGAUAAAUGAACACCCCAAGCAACUCCGCGAAAAGGUUAUUGAAAAGUACUACAUAUACAAGAAAAUUUCCAAGUUACUGUAAAAUUGUUGAUGUAAGUCCAUCAGCAAAAAAUGGAAAGAAUAUGGCACAGCUGUAAAUCUGCCUGGAGCAGGCCGUACUCAAAAAGUGAAUGACCAGACAAGAAAGGGACUAGUGAGCGAGGCCAAAAGACCUAUGACAACUCUGGAGGAGUUAGGAGCUUCAGUGGCAGAGAUGGGAGAGACCGCGCAUACAACUGUUACCCAGGUGUUUCACCAGUCGUAGCUUUAUGGGAGAAUGGCAAAGAGAAAACUACUGCUGUAAACACUCACAUGAAAUUUCAGCUAGAGUUUGCCAGAAAGCAUGAAAGACUCUAAAAGACUCUAAAGUCAGCUGGAAAAAGAGAAUGUGGUCAGUACAAAUAAACGUUUAAGACCCAUCUCACAAAUGGAUUUCAUGUGCAGCAGAGGAAAGUAUUUUGGAUAGCACGAGGACAAUAUUGCUGAAUCAAGUUGUUGUUAAAACGCAAAAAAGUGUGUCGCAAAUUGCCAAACUUGUAUUUUGUUCAAGGAAGAACCAGGGAAAGAGAAGAGUAAAAAGUAAACAUAAAAACAACUGCUCAAAGAUGUAUAAUCUAUGAUAUAUUAAAAUAUUUAUAGUUAAGGGAUACAACCAUAUAUCUUAAAUAAAAACAAAAAGUGCUGGAGAUCCUCAUCAGGUCAGACAAUAUCAGUGGGAAGGGAACAGAGUUGACAUUUCUGUUCAAAGAAUCUUUGUCACAGUAGCUGCAAAAUUUUCUGAUUUUGUUUUACAUUUCCAGCAUCCGCAGUUUUUCAGGAACACAAGACAGCAGAUGCUGUAAUCUGUUGCAAACAUCUGCUGGAGGAACAAUGGCUCAGGCUGCAUCUGUGGAGGCAGAGGGCUGGAUGUUGUUUUAGAUCCUAAAUCCUGAUGCAAGGCCUCGACUCCAAACACCUCCACUGAUGCUGCCUGAGCUGCUGAGUUCCUUCAGCAGCACUUUCUUUGCACUUGCAACUAGAAAUCUUUUCUGACAUAGUUUGAAGCUGCUUUUCCAACAUUGCUGCAGAAUGUUGAAUCCACUAGGUUCACAAGUACAUAAAAGAUAUUGCAGUUACCAAUUAAGGCUCGCUUUAUAAACAUAGAUAUAGUAUAUUCUAGAUUAUUGGGCCACGGAUUAAUUGGGACAGCCGCUUGUUUGGGACUGUAUGCUGCUUAACUGGGGCAGGAGAUUGAUACUGAAUGGUUUCUAACCAGCAUCAGUUACAUGUGCUUGUGUUCAAAAUGCAGUGAUUUUGGCCACUGAUAGUUGCUGAGAAAUAAGCAGUAAGACAAUUUAAAACUGUUUUGCACACUGCUGUUUCAAGCAAUCAGGCUUAGAGAUGUCAGAAACUGCAGGGAAUGAAAAUGAAAUGAUGUUACUAUUAGAACUAUGAAGAAUUUGAAGGUAUUGACAAUCAUUUGGAAUGUUACAAUGAAAAUGAAAAUUUGGAGGAUGCAAUCAUUGAAAGCUUUGUAUGAAGGCAGUCUAUUAUUUGCACUGAUUUUAUUCAUUUAAUUAAUCAAAGAACACAGCAGCUUACAUUGGAUGAAUUCCCCCAUCAAUAAGUUUUAUAGUUCCGUAGUAGUAUUAGUAAUGUUCUAAUUUGUUCCAUAUUUCAUUUAAAUACAUAAUUUAUUACUCAGUUAAAUGGUAGUCUGCCUUUUUUUUAAUAAAUUUUUAGAACCAUUUCCAUGGAA